rnacentral:rRNA from 1 species
GACGAACGCUGGCGGCGUGCUUAACACAUGCAAGUCGAACGGAAAGGCCCUGCUUUUGUGGGGUGCUCGAGUGGCGAACGGGUGAGUAACACGUGAGUAACCUGCCCUUGACUUUGGGAUAACUUCAGGAAACUGGGGCUAAUACCGGAUAGGAGCUCCUGCUGCAUGGUGGGGGUUGGAAAGUUUCGGCGGUUGGGGAUGGACUCGCGGCUUAUCAGCUUGUUGGUGGGGUAGUGGCUUACCAAGGCUUUGACGGGUAGCCGGCCUGAGAGGGGGACCGGGCACAUGGGGACUACGGUACGGCGCAGAGUCCUACGGGGGGCAACGGGGGGGAAUAUUGCACAAUGGGGGGGAGCCUGAUGCGGAGGCGCCGGGAGCGGGAUGAAGGCCUUGGGGUUGUAAACCGCUUUCGCCUGUGACGAAGCGUGAGUGACGGUAAUGGGUAAAGAAGCACCGGCUAACUACGUG